AUUGAACGCUGGCGGCAUGCCUUACACAUGCAAGUCGAACGGCAGCACGGGUGCUUGCACCUGGUGGCGAGUGGCGAACGGGUGAGUAAUACAUCGGAACAUGUCCUGUAGUGGGGGAUAGCCCGGCGAAAGCCGGAUUAAUACCGCAUACGAUCUACGGAUGAAAGCGGGGGACCUUCGGCCUCGCGCUAUAGGGUUGGCCGAUGGCUGAUUAGCUAGUUGGUGGGGUAAAGGCCUACCAAGGCGACGAUCAGUAGCUGGUCUGAGAGGACGACCAGCCACACUGGGACUGAGACACGGCCCAGACUCCUACGGGAGGCAGCAGUGGGGAAUUUUGGACAAUGGGCGAAAGCCUGAUCCAGCAAUGCCGCGUGUGUGAAGAAGGCCUUCGGGUUGUAAAGCACUUUUGUCCGGAAAGAAAUCCUUGGCUCUAAUACAGUCGGGGGAUGACGGUACCGGAAGAAUAAGCACCGGCUAACUACGUG
rnacentral:rRNA from 1 species